CGCGUAGGCGGUGAUGUAAGUUAGUUGUGAAAUACCAGAGCUCAACUCUGGCCUGUCAACUAAAACUGCAUUACUCGAGGACAGUAGAGGUAAGAGGAAUUUCCGGUGUAGCGGUGGAAUGCGUAGAUAUCGGAAGGAACACCAAUGGCGAAGGCAACUUACUGGACUGUACCUGACGUUGAGGCGCGAAAGCGUGGGUAGCGAACA
rnacentral:rRNA from 1 species